rnacentral:lncRNA from 1 species
UGGUUUGGGUUUCUUUAUUCUUUGCUAUUCUUUGGAUAUUGCCAUUUGUUCAUACACUUUUGUGCUUUGAUUCUGCUCCAGCCAUAAUGUAAGUUUGUUGGGUAUUUUUCCUAGUUUUCUUAUUAUUUUAGUUUAGUUUGAAUCUUUAGAAGGUGGGUUGUGUUUGUAUAUAUUUAUUCGAAAUUUUAAUUAGUGCUUUUGUGGAGUGC